GACGAACGCUGGCGGCGUGCUUAACACAUGCAAGUCGAGCGGUAAGGCCCUUUCGGGGGUACACGAGCGGCGAACGGGUGAGUAACACGUGGGUGACCUGCCCUCAGCUCUGGGAUAAGCCCUGGGAAACCGGGUCUAAUACCGGAUAUGACUCCAGUGACGCAUGUUGUGGGGGUGAAAGGCCUUGUGCGGCUGAGGAUGGGCCCGCGGCCUAGUCAGCUUGUUGGUGGGGUGAUGGCCUACCAAGGCGACGAC
rnacentral:rRNA from 1 species